AUUGAACGCUGGCGGCAGGCCUAACACAUGCAAGUCGAACGAGUGGCGGACGGGUGAGUAAUGUCUGGGAAACUGCCCGAUGGAGGGGGAUAACUACUGGAAACGGUAGCUAAUACCGCAUACCAUCGGAUGUGCCCAGAUGGGAUUAGCUAGUAGGGGGGGUAACGGCUCACCUGGGCGGCGAUCCCUAGCUGGUCUGAGAGGAUGACCAGCCACCUUGGAACUGGGACACGGUCCAGACGCCUACGGGAGGGAGCAGUGGUGAAUAUUGCGCAAUGGGCGCAAGCCUGAUGCAGCCAUGCCGCGUGUAUGAAGAAGGCCUUCGGUUUGUAAAGUACGUUCAGCGAGGAGGCGUUACUCGCAGAAGAAGCACCGGCUAACUCCGUGCCAGCAGCCGCGGUAAUAC
rnacentral:rRNA from 1 species